UGAGGAAUAUUGCACAAUGGGCGCAAGCCUGAUGCAGCGACGCCGCGUGGGUGAUGAAGGUCUUCGGAUCGUAAAGCCCUUUUUCUGCGUGACGAGACAGGACGGUAGCGCAGGAAUAAGCCCCGGCUAACUUCGUGCCAGCAGCCGCGGUAAUACGAAGGGGGCUAGCGUUGUUCGGAAUUACUGGGCGUAAAGCGCACGUAGGCGGAUCAGCAAGUCAGGGGUGAAAUCCCGGGGCUCAACCUCGGAACUGCCUCUGAUACUGCUGGUCUGGAGUCCGGAAGAGGUGGGUGGAAUUCCUAGUGUAGAGGUGAAAUUCGCAGAUAUUAGGAAGAACACCGGUGGCGAAGGCGGCCCACUGGUCCGGUACUGACGCUGAGGUGCGAAAGCGUGGGGAGCAAACAGGAUUAGAUACCCAAGUAGUCCCUGAGCGGGCUGGCAAGGCGCAU
rnacentral:rRNA from 1 species